rnacentral:rRNA from 1 species
GAUGAACGCUGGCGGCGUGCCUAAUACAUGCAAGUCGAGCGAACAGACGAGGAGCUUGCUCCUCUGACGUUAGCGGCGGACGGGUGAGUAACACGUGGAUAACCUACCUAUAAGACUGGGAUAACUUCGGGAAACCGGAGCUAAUACCGGAUAAUAUAUUGAACCGCAUGGUUCAAUAGUGAAAGACGGUUUUGCUGUCACUUAUAGAUGGAUCCGCGCCGCAUUAGCUAGUUGGUAAGGUAACGGCUUACCAAGGCAACGAUGCGUAGCCGACCUGAGAGGGUGAUCGGCCACACUGGAACUGAGACACGGUCCAGACUCCUACGGGAGGCAGCAGUAGGGAAUCUUCCGCAAUGGGCGAAAGCCUUACGGAGCAACGCCGCGUGAGUGAUGAAGGUCUUCGGAUCGUAAAACUCUGUUAUUAGGGAAGAACAAAUGUGUAAGUAACUAUGCACGUCUUGACGGUACCUAAACAGAAAGCCACGGCUAACUACGUG